UACGUAGGGUGCGAGCGUUGUCCGGAAUUAUUGGGCGUAAAGAGCUCGUAGGCGGUGUGUCGCGUCGGCCGUGAAAACCUGCAGCUUAACUGUGGGCUUGCGGUCGAUACGGGCAUCACUGGAGUUCGGCAGGGGAGACUGGAAUUCCUGGUGUAGCGGUGAAAUGCGCAGAUAUCAGGAGGAACACCGGUGGCGAAGGCGGGUCUCU
rnacentral:rRNA from 1 species